AUGGGAGGGCUAUCUGUGGUCUUGGAAGCAUACCGUGUUUUACUCAUAAAUGCCAGUUUUUUUUUUAUUUUUUUAACGUUUUUUGUUUAUUUAUUUUUGAGACAGAGCGAGAGACAGAGCACGGUGAUAGCCUGGGACGUGUCACAGAGUUACUCCUGGUGGCAGAGACAGAGCGCGGUGAUAGCCUGGGACGUGUCACAGAGUUACUCCUGGUGGCAGAGACAGAGCGCGGUGAUAGCCUGGGACGUGUCACAGAGUUACUCCUGGUGGCAGAGACAGAGCGCGGUGAUAGCCUGGGACGUGUCACAGAGUUACUCCUGGUGGCAGAGACAGAGCGCGGUGAUAGCCUGGGACGUGUCACAGAGUUACUCCUGGUGGCAGAGACAGAGCGCGGUGAUAGCCUGGGACGUGUCACAGAGUUACUCCUGGUGGCAGAGACAGAGCGCGGUGAUAGCCUGGGACGUGUCACAGAGUUACUCCUGGUGGCAGAGACAGAGCGCGGUGAUAGCCUGGGACGUGUCACAGAGUUACUCCUGGUGGCAGAGACAGAGCGCGGUGAUAGCCUGGGACGUGUCACAGAGUUACUCCUGGUGGCAGAGACAGAGCGCGGUGAUAGCCUGGGACGUGUCACAGAGUUACUCCUGGUGGCAGAGACAGAGCGCGGUGAUAGCCUGGGACACGUCACAGAGUUACUCCUGGUGGCAGAGACAGAGCGUGGUGAUAGCCUGGGACGUGUCACAGAGUUACUCCUGGUGGCAGAGACAGAUCGCGGUGAUAGCCUGGGACACGUCACAGAGUUACUCCUGGUGGCAGAGACAGAGCGCGGUGAUAGCCUGGGACGUGUCACAGAGUUACUCCUGGUGGCAGAGACAGAGCGCGGUGAUAGCCUGGGACGUGUCACAGAGUUACUCCUGGUGGCAGAGGGAGAGUAUGCAGUGUGCUUUUUUCAAGCUUCAGCUGUGGGCAGUCGGCAUGAUAGGCGAAAAAGAUGGGACGUUCUUUAUCAUACACAUCACACAGGAAGAGAUUGGUAGCAGACCGGAGUUGACCAAAGCCUGUGCAUUCCACAGAAAGUACUGUUGUCAGGAGUGGCCCUUGGGAAAUCGCCUUUGAGCUGUUGGGAUGCUCUGCCUGACACGGGUGUUUCUGUAUGCCUCCGUCUUUGGGCCACCCCCUACCUCUAGGACCAGAUGAGAUUGUCCUGGCAAUGUGACUUCUAGUGGAUGCCUGUGUUUGCUGUCAGGGGCUGGGGUGUGAGCAACAGGUCAGGCAGGCAGGCACUGUGUGCCUAGGAGUUUCAUAAACCAUGAUAUACAUUUUCAAAAAAUAAUUUUAAUGUUUAUUUUUUUUAAAAUGAGAGAGACACAGCGUGAGCAUGGGGGGGGGGUUGGUGCAGAGGAGAAGGAGACACAGAAUCUGAAGCAGGCUCCGGGCUCUGAGCUGUCAGCACAGAGCCUGACGUGGGGCUUGAACCCACGAACAUGAGAUCACAACCUGAGCCAAAGUCAGACACUUAGCUGACUGAGCCAUCCAGGCACUCCAGUGAUGGUAUACAUUUUAAGGAAAGGCAUGAGACCUUUUGGUCUGCAGAUGAGUCAGGCAAGAUAAAUUAGGCAGUACUGUGAAAAUGAGCAACCCCCUGUUUAGGGGCCUAAUGUAAGGAAGGUUUUAUUUCUCAGCAUGUCCAUCCUGGGCUACCUGGGAGCUCUGCCCCGUGUCCUCCUUACAUCAAGACCCAGGAUGAUGUCAUAACCAUCACCUGAGGCAGUCCAAACUGUGUCAAAGCAAGAGAAAAUAGGGAUGUGUGUUUAUGUCUAUAUUUCCAUAGUUUAGAUGCGCUUUAGGUGUUUAGAUGUUCUUUUUUUUUUUUUUGUUUUUUUUUUUUUAUUUUGAGAGAUGACAGACAGACAGACAGGGAGAGAGAGAAUCCCAAACAGGGCCCUCGCUGUCAGUGCAGAGCCUGACGAGGUGCUCCAACUCAUGAACCAUGAGGUCAUGACCUGAGCUGGAAUCAAGAGUCAGAUGCUCAACCGACUGAGCCCCCCAGGCACCCGUAGACGAACUGGUUCUUAAAGCUUCCCUUUGGUAGUGACAGAGACCCUCCUGCUCACAUUGUCAUUGGCCAGGGGUUGCAUGGCCAUGUCAGAAUUCAAGGGCACAGUGGAGGUCCGGCCCUGCCAUGUGCCCAGAAGAAGAACUGGAAUAUUUGUAAAUAAUCCAAACAACCACCACAGAAAUCAGGUACACAUGAUGGUGUACAUGUAUGUUAAAAAGAUGUCUUUUUGAGGAGUUUGUGACUUGGAGAAUUCUUUUCCGAGUUAUUAACAUCCUCUCAUUUUAUGGAAGAAUUAUGUAGAAUUUAUCUAAAAGAGAGUAUGAUACACACAGAGUAUAAUCAGCUUUUUUUUUUUUUUUUUUUGACAAGGCUGCGUCUGUUCUGUGUCCUGACAAGUGGAUCUGUCCAAUGUAGAUGCCAUUACCUCGUUACAGUUGCCCGUUCGGUUAAUCUGGCCUUGCCAAUGGUGCUAAUUCUUGAAGGAAUUCUUCAGUUUGGGACGUUAAAGACCACGGAGGAUUAACUGAGAAUCAUGGAUCACAGAGUCUGUAAUGAGACCCACACGUAGCGCCCCGAGCCAGCCUGACAGAGGACUGAAACCGUAGCAAAAGUGCACACUAGCCUGAUGUAAAACCUCAGAUCUUAUCAGUUCUAGUUGCAAAUACGUGACCUCUCAUAACGGCAUACGUUUCGGGAGUUCGAUGUGUAGCUUUUCUCUGGGCAUGAUGGCAUUACCUGUUCUGUCUGAAAUUGACGCUGUUUAUUGGGAAACAAAAGCUUUUCAUCCAGGGCUGUGGUUCUCCGAUUUGGUUGAAUGUUAGAAGAUCCCAAGGGGUUUAGUAAGCUUGAGCGGAAGCUCAGGAAGUCCCGGAGGAGGGUUUAGAUGGAGCCUGGCAUGUGUGUCGUGUGGCGUGUGCAUAUGCUGUGCAGGGCGUCUCCUAAGUGCGUCAGAUACUCUCGGACGCACGCUAGCUAAGCACCUACCACAGUGCCUGCGGUUGUUGAAAGCGCUCACUAGUGGCAGCUGAUGUUACUUUUUUGCCUUGCCCGUCAGUGCCAGGGUUGUUCCUGGGUGUCUCCAUGGAGCGGCGCAGAGAACAAAAGGCUUCGUUCCUUUUGGAUUCGCGCUUUGCCAUUUGAGCUGGCCGUAAAGGGACACCUGUCAGGCGUUCCCUGGGACAGACGACCCCACCACGUACUCUUACGUUCCUGGCUGCGGUCCAGUCCCACAGACUCUCCCUCCCAGAGACGUUUUAGAGGAUAAAUGCGACAAAACGUCAAGAAGAGUUUCUCUCACAGACAAGCUCAGCAUUGGAUUUGGGUAACGGUUGCCACUAUCCCGAACUCCCUUAGGCUGGCUAACUUAGGGCGUUGAAGAGAAAAUAAUUAUAGACCUUUCAGCAAUUAUUUCCAGAAAUUUGUCUGUAUUGUAGACAAAUACAGACGGGGUUGAUAGACGCUCUCCAUUAUAGAGACGGAAGAAAGGAAGACGGUGAGGGACGGAAACUUCUAGCAGCCUCCAUUAAAUCCACUCAUUUCUUCCUCACUAACAGAUGUAAGAGGAUACUGGCUUAUCCCUCCUCUGAUACAUGUCUACCCAGUGGGUAAUCUCUGAGAAAGCCUUCUCAGAAAGCUUUUUAGAGGAGGAUACUUUUGUGGAAUAGGAAUAGAUCCUUUUUUAUACUUCUGCCUCAAGUUCUUCUCUCUUGGAAUAAUGGCUGGGGCUCUAGCAGCCACCUUGGACCAUGAGUCAUAUUUAAGGAGAGGAUCCACGUGGCUUUGGAGGGUACAGCAGAAAGAGAGAAUGACACUCGGUUUCUGGUGUGUUACACUUGUCAAACCUGCAUCGCACUGCCUGUGUCUGGAAAAACAUUACAUUUCGAUCUUGCUUAAUUUUUCAUUGGUUUCCUUCUUUUUACACUCUGUCCUGUGUAACUCUUGUGGGGCACGAAACUGUUGGAAAAAGAGAAAAUCAAUUUAAGAAGGAUACAAAAAGCUAGAGAAUGAGAGAGGUAGUUGGAGAAAGAUGCUGAGGUCUCGACAGAUGGUAGAGAAGUGGAGAAAGAAGAAAGUGGGGAUUGGGGGUGCCUGGGUGGCUCAGCCAAUGAAGCAUCCCACUCUUGGUUUUGGCUCAGGUCAAGAUGUCACAGUCGAGCCCCAUGGGGUCGAGCCCCAUGGCAUCUAGCCCUGCAAGGGGCUGGGCGUGGAGCUCUCUGUCUCUCUCUCUUUCAAAAAAAAAAAAAAUGAAUCCAGAUAAAGGGAGGCAUGGGGGCGGGUGCUGGGGGAAAGACGAGAAGACAAGAGAAGUGGGUGUGAAAUGAGAAAAGAGAGGCAGACUCACCUGGUGCCCACAGACAGUGCAUUACAGGAGCCGCUGUAACUCUGGUUAGGGCUUGUUCGAUGGGGGUGUCUGGCCCCCAGAACCAAGGUGCACUGUCUGCAUGACUGUUUCACGUAAUUCUUCGCUUUCUUCAUGUGCCUUCAGUCUUCUCUGUAGCAGCCUGGGUGCCAUCUUUAAGGAGCAGUACCGCACGUCACGUUUUAACCUUUGCUUUCCUCCCAUGGGUGGAACCUGGUGGAGUGAUGAGCACAUAAUUGAAGUUCAUCCAGUAUUUCACGGAAAGAAGUUGCAGCGAUUUUAUUUUACAUGUACUGCAUUACGUCAUAUGAUAUAUUUUAUUUAAUACAAGUAUUACAUACAGGAAAUAGGGGUAGUGAAUAAACAAUUUCAGAGAGGCGUAAAGCA
rnacentral:lncRNA from 1 species